rnacentral:tRNA from 1 species
UCAAAGCUGAGUGGUAAAAGCGCUUGGCUUCCAAAGCGAGGGUUCUCGAGUUCAAAUCUCGGUGA